rnacentral:rRNA from 1 species
GAUGAACGCUGGCGGCGUGCCUAAUACAUGCAAGUCGAGCGAACGGACGAGAAGCUUGCUUUUCUGAUGUUAGCGGCGGACGGGUGAGUAACACGUGGAUAACCUACCUAUAAGACUGGGAUAACUUCGGGAAACCGGAGCUAAUACCGGAUAAUAUUUUGAACCGCAUGGUUCAAAAGUGAAAGACGGUCUUUCUGUCACUUAUAGAUUGAUCCGCGAUGCAUUAGCUAGUUGGUAAGGUAACGGCUUACCAAGGCAACGAUGCAUAGCCGACCUGAGAGGGGGAUAGGACACACUGGAACGGAGACACGGUCCAGACUCCAACGGGAGGCAGCAGUAGGGAAUCUUCCGCAAUGGGCGAAAGCCUGACGGAGCAACGCCGCGUGAGGGAUGAAGGGCUUCGGAUCGGAAAACUCUGUUAUUAGGGAAGAACAUAUGUGUAAGUAACUGUGCACAUCUUGACGGUACCUAAUCAGAAAGCCACGGCUAACUACGUG